rfam:Heterocephalus glaber contig238951, whole genome shotgun sequence.
GUCUACAGCCAUGUCACUCUGAACACACCCAAUCUCGUCUGAUCUCGAAAGCUAAGCAGGGUCGGGCCUUGUUAGUGCUUGGAUGGGAGAAGUUGGCCCAAGAAUGCAUAGUUUGGACA